UACGGGGGGGGCAAGCGUUGUUCGGAAUUACUGGGCGUAAAGGGCUCGUAGGUGGCCAACUAAGUCAGACGUGAAAUCCCCAGGCUUAACCUGGGAACUGCGUCUGAUACUGGAUGGCUAGAGUUUGGGAGAGGGAUGCGGAAUUCCAGGUGUAGCGGUGAAAUGCGUAGAUAUCUGGAGGAACACCGGUGGCGAAGGCGGCAUCCUGGACCAACACUGACGCUGAGGAGCGAAAGCGUGGGGAGCGAACAGG
rnacentral:rRNA from 1 species